ACACAUGCAAGUCGAACGGAGUUAUUUUGGCAGAAGCCUUCGGGUGGACGCUGAUAUAACUUAGUGGCGAACGGGUGAGUAACACGUGAGCAACCUGCCCUUCAGAGGGGGACAACAGUUGGAAACGACUGCUAAUACCGCAUAAGACCACGGUGUGGCAUCACACAGAGGUCAAAGGAGAAAUCCGCUGAAGGAUGGGCUCGCGUCCAAUUAGCUAGAUGGUGAGGUAACGGCCCACCAUGGCGACGAUUGGUAGCCGGACUGAGAGGUUGAUCGGCCACAUUGGGACUGAGACACGGCCCAGACUCCUACGGGAGGCAGCAGUGGGGAAUAUUGCACAAUGGAGGAAACUCUGAUGCAGCGACGCCGCGUGAGGGAAGAAGGUCUUCGGAUUGUAAACCUCUGUUGUCAGGGACGAUAAUGACGGUACCUGACGAGGAAGCCACGGCUAACUACGUGCCAGCAGCCGCGGUAAAACGUAGGUGGCAAGCGUUGUCCGGAAUUACUGGGUGUAAAGGGAGCGCAGGCGGGAGAGCAAGUUGGAAGUGAAAUCUGUGGGCUCAACUCACAAAUUGCUUUCAAAACUGUUUUUCUUGAGUGGUGUAGAGGUAGGCGGAAUUCCCGGUGUAGCGGUGGAAUGCGUAGAUAUCGGGAGGAACACCAGUGGCGAAGGCGGCCUACUGGGCACUAACUGACGCUGAGGCUCGAAAGCAUGGGUAGCAAACAGGAUUAGAUACCCUGGUAGUCCAUGCCGUAAACGAUGAUUACUAGGUGUGGGAGGAUUGACCCCUUCCGUGCCGCAGUUAACACAAUAAGUAAUCCACCUGGGGAGUACGACCGCAAGGUUGAAACUCAAAGGAAUUGACGGGGGCCCGCACAAGCAGUGGAGUAUGUGGUUUAAUU
rnacentral:rRNA from 1 species